rnacentral:rRNA from 1 species
CCUACGGGAGGCAGCAGUGGGGAAUUUUGGACAAUGGGGGCAACCCUGAUCCAGCAAUGCCGCGUGAGUGAAGAAGGCCUUCGGGUUGUAAAGCUCUUUUGUCAGGGAAGAAACAGCAGCUCUAACACAGUCUGCGAAUGACGGUACCUGAAGAAUAAGCACCGGCUAACUACGUGCCAGCAGCCGCGGUAAUACGUAGGGUGCAAGCGUUAAUCGGAAUUACUGGGCGUAAAGCGUGCGCAGGCGGUUAUGUAAGACAGGCGUGAAAUCCCCGGGCUUAACCUGGGAAUUGCGCUUGUGACUGCAUAGCUAGAGUAUGUCAGAGGGGGGUAGAAUUCCACGUGUAGCAGUGAAAUGCGUAGAGAUGUGGAGGAAUACCAAUGGCGAAGGCAGCCCCCUGGGAUAAUACUGACGCUCAUGCACGAAAGCGUGGGGAGCAAACA